UUAUAAACAGGGCAAAUUUUAGCCCUUUUUCUGCAGACUGAAAAAAAAUGAAGAACAACCUUAAUCAAUUUUCAAACCUUACUGGGUUCUCAUCAGAGGCGUCCACAUCACUUUGACAAUCUCUGGAGAAACUAGCAGCCAAUUUGUUUAU